UCAUUACCAUGAAUCACUCCCAAAGAGAAAGCUAGCGCACAUGCACUCUUCCAAUCCACAGUGCACCGCGGGAAGAAGAAACGCUGUGUCUGAAUUAAGGCUCCAGUCGCCUCGGAUUUCACCAAAGCCACGACGAUCCAAUCCGCCAGCCAUGCCGAUUCAAGUCGGCGCGUCCCAGCCGCGUCGCAUGAUCAUUGCGUCAUCUUUCACGGGUUUCGCGUCAUCUCGGGAGAUGGCGCCACACUGUGUGGCACUUCUACCCGCCCACGGAGUGUACCCGCCGCGGAAGAGCAUAAACAAUAUUAUAUUAUUUGUGCUAAAUUAAAGAUCUGUUUUCGUUAUGUCAA